CCUACGGGAGGCAGCAGUGGGGAAUUUUGGACAAUGGGCGCAAGCCUGAUCCAGCAAUGCCGCGUGAGUGAAGAAGGCCUUCGGGUUGUAAAGCUCUUUUGUCAGGGAAGAAACGGUGGGAGCUAAUAUCUCCUACUAAUGACGGUACCUGAAGAAUAAGCACCGGCUAACUACGUGCCAGCAGCCGCGGUAAUACGUAGGGUGCAAGCGUUAAUCGGAAUUACUGGGCGUAAAGCGUGCGCAGGCGGUUUUGUAAGUCUGUCGUGAAAGCCCCGGGCUCAACCUGGGAAUUGCGAUGGAGACUGCAAGGCUUGAAUCUGGCAGAGGGGGGUAGAAUUCCACGUGUAGCAGUGAAAUGCGUAGAGAUGUGGAGGAACACCGAUGGCGAAGGCAGCCCCCUGGGUCAAGAUUGACGCUCAUGCACGAAAGCGUGGGGAGCAAACAGGAUUAGAUACCCUGGUAGUCCACGCCCUAAACGAUGUCUACUAGUUGUCGGGUUUUAAUAACUUGGUAACGCAGCUAACGCGUGAAGUGACCGCCUGGGGAAGUCGGUCGCAAGNUUAAACUUAAAGAUUAAGUUGCGNGNGNGNGNGACGAGACGACGAGGAGGAG
rnacentral:rRNA from 1 species